rnacentral:rRNA from 1 species
CCUACGGGAGACAGCAGUGGGGAAUAUUGGACAAUGGAGGAAACCCUGAUCCAGCGACGCAGCGUGAGUGAAGAAGGAUUUCGGUACGUAAAGCUCUAUCAACAGGAGAGAAAAUGACGGUACCUGACUAAGAAUCCCCGGCUAACUACGUGCCAGAAGCGGCGGUAAUACGUAGGGGGCCAGCGUUAUCCGGAUUUACUGGGUGUAAAGGGAGCGUAGACGGCAGCGCAAGUCUGGAGUGAAAUGCUGGGGCCUAACCCCGGAACUGCACUGGAAACUGUGAAGCUGGAGUGCAGGAGAGGUAAGCGGAAUUCCUGGUGUAGCGGUGAAAUGCGUAGAUAUCAGGAGGAACACCGGCGGCGAAGGCGGCUUACUGGACUGUAACUGACGUUGAGGCUCGAAAGUGUGGGGAGCAAACAGGAUUAGAUACCCUAGUAGUC